GGUUAAUCAUUAUGCAUAAUAUAUAAACAAUAGGUAAAUAUUUUCAUUUUUUCAUUUUUUUCUACUGUUGCGGUUCUAUGUCAAAUUUUUUGUGCUGUAUAACAUACUUUCUCUUGUCUCGUUAGGAAAUUUCGGUCAAUUAAUAAUGAUCGGUCAUUGGUCAAUUUUUCCCACCAAUAGAAAAUUUAAUUUCUUUGAAAAUCUAAUGAAAAUUAUAGAUCAUUACAGAUAUAGUUUCAGAGAUAAAAUUAUUAUUUAUUGUAUUUAUUUUAAUGAUUUCUUUUUUAUUACAAAACUAAACACAAAAAUAUAUACACGUAGUAUUUUUAUUUCAAUUAUAAACGAAGGUUAAUGUUCAAUCGAAAAAACUAUUAACUGAUAGGUCAAGGAAGAUGGAAAGUUAACGUUCAUAAAAUAUAUAUGUUUGUCUUUAUCUAUCACAUUCGUUAGUUCCUUUUGGUUCCUUUUAUUACUAGAAGUCAGCUGCGGGUAGGAGUACAUGGUAGUCUGAAGUAAGAAGUCGUUGCACCUCUAGCAUAGGAUCUGACGAUAUUUAAUAGGAUAUUAUUUGAAAUAUAUAUAUUAUAUCAUUAAUCGAAGUGUAUUAUAUAUACAUAUGCAUAGUGAAUGAUACAUUAAUGGUUAUACUGUAAAAUUUGAAAAAAAAAAAAAAAAAAAAAA